GCGGAGAGACAUUACACAAAUAUGAAGGCGGGCUGGAACCUCUCGGGGUUACAGCCUUGCUGAAUUAUUCACCCUUGUCUUUUGCGUACUUCUUGUUUCCUUGGUGGGUUCGCCCACCACUAGGACAAACAUAAACCUUUUGUAAUUGCAAUCAGCGUCAGUAACAAAUUAAUAAUUACAACUUUCAACAACGGAUCUCUUGGUUCUGGCAUCGAUGAAGAACGCAGCGAAAUGCGAUAAGUAGUGUGAAUUGCAGAAUUCAGUGAAUCAUCGAAUCUUUGAACGCACAUUGCGCCCUUUGGUAUUCCAAAGGGCAUGCCUGUUCGAGCGUCAUUUGUACCCUCAAGCUUUGCUUGGUGUUGGGCGUCUUGUCUCUAGCUUUGCUGGAGACUCGCCUUAAAGUAAUUGGCAGCCGGCCUACUGGUUUCGGAGCGCAGCACAAGUCGCACUCUCUAUCAGCAAAGGUCUAGCAUCCAUUAAGCCUUUUUUUCAACUUUUGACCUCGGAUCAGGUAGGGAUACCCGCUGAACUUAAGCAUAUCAAUAAGCCGGGAGGAA
rnacentral:rRNA from 2 species